CAGAAGAGGACAUCGGAUCCCAUUACAGAUGGUUGUGAGCCUCCAUGUGGUUGCUGGGAAUUGAACUCAGGACCUCUGGAAGAGCAGUCAGUGCUUCUAACUGCUGAGCCAUCUCUCCAGCCCACCCACAAACUUUUAAAAAACAUUUUUAUUUGAGACAGGGUAAGUCUAAAGUAGCCUAGACUGGCCGUUAACUCACAACAUAGCCAAGACUCUGCAGGAAGGAGACUGUCCAAGGAACAGUGACAAAGCCAUCUAUAGCCCUAGGAGAAGUUCUAGGGGCAGCCAAGCCUGAGGACCCGUCGAUCGUCCACUUCAGAAGCCUGAGAGAAUGCCUUCCUGCUGAGGAAGCCUCCCAGCCUGUGGGGCUGCAGUACAGCAGACAGGGCAGACACACACAGCCCCCACGGCUGUAAUUUCAGACACUAAUUUAACCUGGAUGGGGCACUAUGAUUUGACUCGGGACCGUGGGAGCAGCUCCAGCUCCACAUCACACCUAAAUCGCAGCCUCGUCUCGUCGGGCCCAUGGAUGUAAGCAGCCCAGACCUGCAUCUCAGCGGAUGCGUCCGUGUUCCCCUUGCAGUGCGUCCUGCAGUCUCUGAGGGCUCUGCUGCUGUGUGGGUCCUGGGGAUCAUUUUGAGCACACGCACAAAGCCACACCUCCAGCCUUUGUUUCAUGUGCUUCCACUGGAGUAUGAGUCUAAGGACAGACAGUGACCUGAGGAGACCUCAGACUUUCUGAGACAACUCUGCAUAAUAUGGAGCCUCGGGUGGGUUAACCCUGAAGGAUGUGCUGAGGAGGAGGACAGGAAGAGGCAAGAACCAGCAAGAGUCGCGGGGAGAGCAGGAGGAGAAAGGUCCUCUCUGGCAUGAAAGUAUUUUUCCCAGUAGGCAUGGGGGGUCUCAGCACCCACUGGGGUGGAGGCAGGAGAAUGAGAAGUUCAAAGUCACCCUUGGUUAUAUAGCCAGCUCGAUGCUUGUUUGAGAUACAUGAGACGCUGCCAAAAGAGAAAUAAGUAUAGAGAAGUGGGGAAAGAAGGAGAGAGAGAGAGAGAGAGAGAGAGAGAGAGAGAGAGAGAGAGAGAGAGAGAGAGAGAGAGAGAGAACAAUGCUGAGGGUGAAGGAUGAUAGAACACAGGAGUAAGUACUGUUCACAAAAGUCAAAUCAUGGAGCCAGCGGCGUGCCUGUCAUAGGAAGAGUGGACAAGGAGAAUGUGCAAUACACACAUCAUGACAUUUUAUUCACUUUGGGAAAAUGGGUGGACUGUGAGAAGCUCAAGAAAGUAAACAUGACUUAAUUCCAAGCUACACUGCAGGCUGGAGAGAUGGCUUGACGGUGAAGAGCGCUUCCCUGCAACAAAUCCCUGCUUCUGAUCUAUUGGACACAUAGAAUAAACUCCUUUACCAAGUGUAGUGGCUCACACCUGUAAUCCCAGAACUGCCAGGCUGAGGCAGGAGAUUUGCUGCAAGUUACAGACCAGCCUGGACUACAUAGUGAGCUGGUGUAUGAGACCCUGACUCAAGAAAAAAAAAAUCUUCAUUUCAAAACAAACAAGUUGUCAGGAAGUAGUGGCGCACUCCUUUAAUCCCAGCACUUGGGAUGCAGUAGCAGGCAGAUUUCUGAGUUCGAGGCCAGCCUGGUCUACAGAGUGAGUUCCAGGACAGCCAGGGCUACACAGAGAAACCCUGUCUCGACACCCCCGAAAAUCCUAAACCCCCCAAAACAGAAAAAAAAACCCACAAGUUGCAUGUCUGGAGAGAUGGCUCAGUGGUUAAGAGCACUGGCUGCUCUUCCAGUGGACCAGAUUCAAUUCUCCGCACCUACAUGACUGCUCACAACUCUCUUUAACUCCUGUUUCAGGGGAUCUGACAACCCCUGCCCCCCCAUACAGACAUACAUUCAGGCAAAACACAAUUGCAAGUGAAAUAAGAAUAAAUUACAAAAGAAAUAAAAGUUAAAAGCCAAGUUAAGCACUAUCUUUCUUUGCUAAAGCAAACCCAGGAAGUUCUUAAAAUAGAAAUUCCUGAAAUUCAGCAAAAACCCAAAUUGUUUUAUUUUAAGGUGAACCACUUAGAACGACGGGCCAAGCUAAAAAUAGGAUUUGCCAGCCACCCAAACAUUCCUCCCUGUUAGCUCACCCAGCCUCAACUCUUCUCUCCACCAAUUUAAGUAGGGACUGACUUCCCUCACAGUAUCCUCAGAUUCCUCUCCUCUCAUGCAUUUGUGCAAGGGAAGGAACUCAAGAUCUGUUCAUGCCACACCCCCAGCCCCUCACUGGGGGAUUCUAGACAGGGGAUCUACCACUGAGCCACACCCCCAGCCCCUCACUGGGGGAUUCUAGGCAGGGGCUCUACCACUGAGCCACGCCCCCAGCCCCUCACUGGGAGAUUCUAGGCAGGGGCUCUACCACUGAGCCACGCCCCCAGCCCCUCACUGGGAGAUUCUAGGUAGGGGCUCUACCACUGAGCCACGCCCCCAGCCACUCACUGGGGGAUUCUAGGCAGGGGCUCUACCACUGAGCCAUGCCCCCAGCCCCUCACUGGGGGAUUCUAGGCAGGGGCUCUACCACUGAGGCAGACCCAUAGUCCUCACUGGUGGUUUAUAAGUUUGUGCUCCAAUUCUGAACCCUGCCUUCCAACCACGGUGUUUCUUUCUCUCUAUGGACUCAGGGAGUAGGGGAUGAAGAGUGCCUUCCUCGUGGCUUUGCCAGCAGAGUCACCUGGCAUUAGGACUUUUUCUGGGCUUAGGUGAUAAGAAAAAUGGAAUCUCAGGGAAACCUUUACCGUUUGUCCUUCCUUCUUCCUUCUCCUCUUUUCCUUUUGAGCCAGGGUCCCACUAUGUAUCCCUGGCUGUCCUGGAACUCACUUUGUAGAGUAGACUGACCUUGAAUUCACAGAGAUCUGCCUAGGAUUAAUGGCAUAUGCUGUACCAACAGACCUGGCAGGUGUAUGUCUGCCUCCCUCUUUAAAGAAAAAAAAAAUCUGUACUUUUAUUUUCAAUUAUGUGUAUGUUUAUUUGUGUGUAGGUCUCUGCAUACAUAUUCCAGAAUAUAGCAUAGGCUCUCCAGGAGGUGAAGUGACAGAAAAUUGUGAGUGAUACAAUGAGUGCUAGGAACCAAACUGGGGGUCCUCUGUGAGUGCAACGCCCCCUCUUAGAUGCUCAGCCAUCUCUCCAGAUCCACUUUUCUUUCUUCCCUCCUUCCUUCCUUCCUUCCUUCCUUCCUUCCUUCCUUCCUUCCUCCCUCCCUCUCUCCCUCUCCUCUCUCUCUCUUCUCUCUCUCUCUCUUUCUCCUCCUCUUCCUCCUCCUCCUCCUCCUUCUUUUUCUUUUUGUUUCUGAGACCAGUAUCUCAGGUUGACCCUGAACUCCUGGCUGUUCAGCUUCAGUCUUCCCCACUCUGGGAUGCUGGGAUUGCAGGCACUUCCAUACUCAGCUGGACAGGUGCUUUUUCAUUAUGCAUACGUGUGUGCUUACACAGGAUAUUUGCAUGUGUCUGUGUGUGAAUCCUCAUAUAUCUUGCUCGCUUUUCUCCAUAUAACCGUGGAAGUCCUGGAACUCAUUCUGUAGACCAGACUUACCUACAAACUCAGGGCUGUGCCUGCUUCUGUCUCCUGAUUGCUCGUUAAAGGCCUCCACAGCAGUCCAUGUGAGCACUAGCCAUGUAAGCACGGGUGUGCUUGGGAGCCGAGAGUGAGCGUCAGACACCCUGGACCUGGAAUUUAACGUGGUACAUGGUGUGUAAGUUGCUUGGCAUAGGUCUUGGGAGUUGAGCUUGGGUCCUCCUCAGGUCUGCUGGAGGAUCAGCUGCUGAGCCACCUCUCCUGCCCUGGUAGUGUCAUUAUUAAAGAGUUGCAGGUUUGCUGUUUAAGGCAAUGCUGAAGCGGAUUGUCUUUUUAAAACUAAGAUUAUUAUGCAGAAGGGUGGUGGUGUAGGCCUUCAAUCCCAGCACUUGGGAGGCAGAGGCAGGUUGGUCUAUGUGACUAUACAGAGAAACUCUAAAAACAACCAAAGAGUUGAUUAGAACGGUUAUUAAAUCCAUGGAUAGACCACAGUGUGGCAGAGGCUGUAGGAGAAUCAGGCCCACUAGGCAGAUGGAAGGAAGCAUAUUUGUUUUGUUUCUUUGAUUGAUUUUUUUUCAAGACAGGGUUUCUCUGUGUAGCCCUGGCUGUUGAAACUCACUCUGUAGACCAGACUGGUCUUGAACUCAGAGAUCAGCCUGAUGCUGCCUCCCAAGUGCAGGGAUUAAGGCAUGGACAACACCGUCCAGCACUGUGAGGGCCCCUUCUUAUACUUAUUACAGGGAGAUACCCCAUGGCAUGUGAUUGUCAGGUAACCUACAGUGUGUGCUUGUAGUUGGGUUUCUGAUUCCUGGACACCAGGUGGUAAGGAGGGAGUCUGUUAACCUGGGGCCCACAUGGAGAGGGUGCUAAGAGUUUCAGGGAAGAAGUCUAGGAAAACAAACUCCUGGAGGGGAGAUAUAAGGUGGCUUUGUCACAUGGAAUGAGGGACUCCACUCUGGUCUGUCG
rnacentral:lncRNA from 1 species